GGCAUCCUUCGGGGCAGGGUGAGGGUCGCGCUCGAAAGACCCAAUUCCCGAUCGGCGGUGGGUUGAGCGUGCAUUGCGCAGGCUCAACAAGCCCGCGAGCCCACGGGUCGCAAUACUUGGCCCACGGGCAGGAUCCGGUGUAAAGCCGGGGCCGACCGUAUAGUCGGGAAGGAAGACAGGAAGCC
rnacentral:ncRNA from 2 species